GCAGCAGCCGCGGUAAUACGAAGGGUGCAAGCGUUAAUCGGAAUUACUGGGCGUAAAGCGUGCGUAGGCGGUUUGUUAAGUCUGUUGUGAAAUCCCCGGGCUCAACCUGGGAAUGGCAAUGGAUACUGGCAAGCUAGAGUGUGUCAGAGGAUGGUGGAAUUCCCGGUGUAGCGGUGAAAUGCGUAGAGAUCGGGAGGAACAUCAGUGGCGAAGGCGGCCAUCUGGGACAACACUGACGCUGAGGCACGAAAGCGUGGGGAGCAAACAGGAUUAGAUACCCCCGUAGUCCCUGUCUCUUAUAC
rnacentral:rRNA from 1 species